rnacentral:rRNA from 1 species
AAUAGCGGCCACAGCAGCGGGGAGACACCUGGACCCAUCCCGAACCCAGAAGUUAAGCCCGCUCACGUGUCGUGCGGUACUGAAUUGCGCGAGCAUUCGGGAACCACGACUCGCUGCUAUUC